AGAGUUUGAUCCUGGCUCAGGACGAACGCUGGCGGCGCGCCUAACACAUGCAAGUCGAACGAGCGAGAGGAGGUUUACUUUCUCAAGCGAGUGGCGAACGGGUGAGUAACGCGUGAGGAACCUGCCUCAAAGAGGGGGACAACAGUUGGAAACGACUGCUAAUACCGCAUAAGCCCACGGCCCGGCAUCGGGCUGCGGGAAAAGGAUUUAUUCGCUUCAGGAUGGACUCGCGUCCAAUUAGCUAGUUGGUGAGGUAACGGCCCACCAAGGCGACGAUCAGUAGCCGGACUGAGAGGUUGAACGGCCACAUUGGGACUGAGACACGGCCCAGACUCCUACGGGAGGCAGCAGUGGGGAAUAUUGCACAAUGGGGGAAACCCUGAUGCAGCGACGCCGCGUGGAGGAAGAAGGUUUUCGGAUUGUAAACUCCUGUCGUUAGGGACGAUAAUGACGGUACCUAACAAGAAAGCACCGGCUAACUACGUGCCAGCAGCCGCGGUAAUACGUAGGGUGCAAGCGUUAUCCGGAAUUAUUGGGCGUAAAGGGCUCGUAGGCGGUUCGUCGCGUCCGGUGUGAAAGUCCAUCGCUUAACGGUGGAUCUGCGCCGGGUACGGGCGGGCUUGAGUGCGGUAGGGGAGACUGGAAUUCCCGGUGUAACGGUGGAAUGUGUAGAUAUCGGGAAGAACACCAAUGGCGAAGGCAGGUCUCUGGGCCGUUACUGACGCUGAGGAGCGAAAGCGUGGGGAGCGAACAGGAUUAGAUACCCUGGUAGUCCACGCCGUAAACGGUGGAUGCUGGAUG
rnacentral:rRNA from 1 species